AAGCAAUUGGAAGACUGUUUUAACAGAAAUCGUCUUGAUGAGUCUUUUUUGAGUCCCCUUGACGAUUAAAAAACGAUCUAAUCUCCUGGGCGAUCGAAAGAAGACUCAUAAAUGACCCUUUCAUAUGCUCAAAGUAUGAUUGCUUUGAAAUGCAAAAGCGAAAUGCAAAGCAAUCGUCAAAUGAACAUGCAGCACAUGCCGAAAUGUGCAAAUUUUGUCAUUCGAUCGUGAAAGUGCAAGUGAAGUGCAAGUGCGAAGUGCAAACAUAAUACAUAAACAUUAUCAAAUAAAUAAGGUGAUUAUGUCAGUCAAACAAUUGCAUCGCGUGGCCAAAAGAGGGGCCCAUAAACUAUUAUUUCCUGAAAAGGAAAU